rnacentral:rRNA from 1 species
UGAACGCUGGCGGCGUGCUUAACACAUGCAAGUCGCACGAGAACGCUUCAGCUUGCUGAAGUUAGUAAAGUGGCGCACGGGUGAGUAACGCGUGGGUAAUCUUCCCCCGAAUUGGGGAUAACAUUGCGAAAGCGAUGCUAAUACCGGAUAAUAUCUUAAGUACUUCGGUACUUAAGAUCAAAGGUGGCCUCUACAUGUAAGCUACUGUUUGGGGAUGAGCCCGCGUACCAUUAGCUUGUUGGUAGGGUAAUGGCCUACCAAGGCUGCGAUGGUUAGCUGGUCUGAGAGGAUGAUCAGCCACACUGGAACUGACACACGGUCCAGACUCCUACGGGAGGCAGCAGUGAGGAAUUUUGCGCAAUGGGGGAAACCCUGACGCAGCAACGCCGCGUGAGUGAUGAAGGCUUUCGGGUCGUAAAGCUCUGUCAAGUGGGAAGAAACCACAUGGUGCUAAUAUCACCUUGUGUUGACGGUACCACUGAAGGAAGCACCGGCUAACUCC